UUUGUCACUGGAUGAUUUUGGCUCCAUGCUCCUGAUUCCUUAAAUGAAUGCCCAGGAUAUGAUCACUCUCAAACUUAUAAUGGUUUUCUUCUAGUUCUGGGUGGAAAAUAUCAGAUGAGCAGCUCCCCAGACGGAUAUCAGAGCCGGGCAAAGCAGCUAUCAGCUUGAGGAUGGCAUCUGUUGGCACAAACUCCUGCUCUCCUUGGCUUCUUCUUGAUCCAGGGUCACACCAGCCAAGCCCUAGAUGUUCCAGGAGUCACAAUGGGACACCAGACAUGUGGGAAAAUCUAUCUUGAAUUCCCAGCCCCAGGCUAAGAACUGUCUUGUUUGUUCAGGAGCCAGUCCUUAUCCUACAUACCUUUGUGACUCAGAGAAAGCUCACUCCAUCCUCC